rnacentral:rRNA from 1 species
AGAGUUUGAUCAUGGCUCAGGACGAACGCUGGCGGCGUGCUUAACACAUGCAAGUGGAGCGACGAACCAGGGCUUGCCCUGGGGCAGAGCCGCGAACGGGUGAGUAACACGUGGGUAACCUGCCCCGAUGACUGGGACAACCCGAGGAAACUCGGGCUAAUACCGGAUGUGCUCUCGUCACAUCAGUGACGUUAGGAAAGGUAGCUUCGGCUUCCGCAUUGGGAUGGGCCCGCGGCCCAUUAGCUUGUUGGUGAGGUAACGGCUCACCAAGGCUUCGAUGGGUAGCUGGUCUGAGAGGACGAUCAGCCACACUGGGACUGAGACACGGCCCAGACUCCUACGGGAGGCAGCAGUGGGGAAUCUUGCGCAAUGCGCGAAAGCGUGACGCAGCAACGCCGCGUGCGGGAAGACGGCCUUCGGGUUGUAAACCGCUUUCAGUUGGGACGAAGCCUGUGCCGUUAAUAGCGGUUAUGGGUGACGGUACCUUCACAAGAAGCCCCGGCUAACUACGUGCCAGCAGCCGCGGUAAUACGUAGGGGGCAAGCGUUGUCCGGAAUCAUUGGGCGUAAAGCGCGUGUAGGCGGCUGGGUAAGUCCGCUCUGAAAGCCCGGGGCUCAACCCCGGGAGGCGGGUGGAUACUGCUCAGCUCGAGUCCGGAAGAGGAGUGUGGAAUUCCUGGUGUAGCGGUGAAAUGCGCAGAUAUCAGGAGGAACACCAAUGGCGAAGGCAGCACUCUGGGACGGUACUGACGCUGAGACGCGAAAGCGUGGGGAGCAAACAGGAUUAGAUACCCCGGUAGUCC